GGACCAGCACCUAAAGAUCACAGACAUAUCACCAGAUCGACUCUCAUGUGUGGAAGGCUUCUUCUGUAAGGCUGAGAUGGCUCUGGAGAAAUACGGAAAAUCGCCUUCAGUCGAUGUAUCAACCCUCGACCGUCUGUUGCUGCAGUACACGAAAGCAAAGAAUGUCACAUACUGUCCUCUGAACACAAAGAAGAAAUGUGGCAUGAAACGAUUUUUGGAGAAAGUCAAGAUUUGUUCAAGAAGAGCACUGGAGAACAAUAUAAUGACAUGUCCUUAAUAAGUUAUUUCUAUUUAUUGUGAAACAUAAUAUUUAUUUUCCUACAUAUCUUAUUUUUGUACUGUUUGUAUUUAUACAUCAAUAAAUUAUAAUGGCACAGUGGUUUGUUG